rnacentral:rRNA from 1 species
UACGUAGGGGGCAAGCGUUGUCCGGAAUCAUUGGGCGUAAAGCGCGCGUAGGCGGCCCGGUAAGUCCGCUGUAAAAGUCCAGGGCUCAACCUGGAAAGCCGGUGGAUACUGUCGGGCUUGAGUACGGGAGAGGCGAGUGGAAUUCCUGGUGUAGCGGUGAAAUGCGCAGAUAUCGGGAGGAACACCAAUUGCGAAGGCAGCUCGCUGGGACGUCACUGACGCUGAGACGCGAAAGCGCGGGGAGCAAACAGG